rnacentral:rRNA from 1 species
AUUGAACGCUGGCGGCAGGCCUAACACAUGCAAGUCGAGCGAGGCCCUCCUUCGGGAGGUGUCCUAGCGGCGAACGGGUGAGUAACACGUGGGCAACCUGCCCCCGGCUCUGGGAUAACUCCAAGAAAUUGGGGCUAAUACCGGAUAUGACCGCUGACCGCAUGGUCUGGUGGUGGAAAGAUUUAUCGGCUGGGGAUGGGCCCGCGGCCUAUCAGCUUGUUGGUGGGGUAGUGGCCUACCAAGGCGACGACGGGUAGCCGGCCUGAGAGGGUGACCGGCCACACUGGGACUGAGACACGGCCCAGACUCCUACGGGAGGCAGCAGUGGGGAAUAUUGCGCAAUGGGCGGAAGCCUGACUCAGCGACGCCGCGUGGGGGAUGACGGCCUUCGGGUUGUAAACCUCUUUCAGCAGGGACGAAGCGCAAGUGACGGUACCUGCAGAAGAAGCACCGGCCAACUACGUGCCAGCCGCCGCUGUAACAC